GGUUAAGCGACUAAGCGUACACGGUGGAUGCCCUGGCAGUCAGAGGCGAUGAAGGACGUGCUAAUCUGCGAUAAGCGUCGGUAAGGUGAUAUGAACCGUUAUAACCGGCGAUUUCCGAAUGGGGAAACCCAGUGUGAUUCGUCACACUAUCAUUAACUGAAUCCAUAGGUUAAUGAGGCGAACCGGGGGAACUGAAACAUCUAAGUACCCCGAGGAAAAGAAAUCAACCGAGAUUCCCCCAGUAGCGGCGAGCGAACGGGGAGCAGCCCAGAGCCUGAAUCAGUGUGUGUGUUAGUGGAAGCGUCUGGAAAGGCGCGCGAUACAGGGUGACAGCCCCGUACACAAAAAUGCACAUGCUGUGAGCUCGAUGAGUAGGGCGGGACACGUGGUAUCCUGUCUGAAUAUGGGGGGACCAUCCUCCAAGGCUAAAUACUCCUGACUGACCGAUAGUGAACCAGUACCGUGAGGGAAAGGCGAAAAGAACCCCGGCGAGGGGAGUGAAAAAGAACCUGAAACCGUGUACGUACAAGCAGUGGGAGCACGCUUAGGCGUGUGACUGCGUACCUUUUGUAUAAUGGGUCAGCGACUUAUAUUCUGUAGCAAGGUUAACCGAAUAGGGGAGCCGAAGGGAAACCGAGUCUUAACUGGGCGUUAAGUUGCAGGGUAUAGACCCGAAACCCGGUGAUCUAGCCAUGGGCAGGUUGAAGGUUGGGUAACACUAACUGGAGGACCGAACCGACUAAUGUUGAAAAAUUAGCGGAUGACUUGUGGCUGGGGGUGAAAGGCCAAUCAAACCGGGAGAUAGCUGGUUCUCCCCGAAAGCUAUUUAGGUAGCGCCUCGUGAAUUCAUCUCCGGGGGUAGAGCACUGUUUCGGCAAGGGGGUCAUCCCGACUUACCAACCCGAUGCAAACUGCGAAUACCGGAGAAUGUUAUCACGGGAGACACACGGCGGGUGCUAACGUCCGUCGUGAAGAGGGAAACAACCCAGACCGCCAGCUAAGGUCCCAAAGUCAUGGUUAAGUGGGAAACGAUGUGGGAAGGCCCAGACAGCCAGGAUGUUGGCUUAGAAGCAGCCAUCAUUUAAAGAAAGCGUAAUAGCUCACUGGUCGAGUCGGCCUGCGCGGAAGAUGUAACGGGGCUAAACCAUGCACCGAAGCUGCGGCAGCGACGCUGAUGCGUUGUUGGGUAGGGGAGCGUUCUGUAAGCCUGCGAAGGUGUGCUGUGAGGCAUGCUGGAGGUAUCAGAAGUGCGAAUGCUGACAUAAGUAACGAUAAAGCGGGUGAAAAGCCCGCUCGCCGGAAGACCAAGGGUUCCUGUCCAACGUUAAUCGGGGCAGGGUGAGUCGACCCCUAAGGCGAGGCCGAAAGGCGUAGUCGAUGGGAAACAGGUUAAUAUUCCUGUACUUGGUGUUACUGCGAAGGGGGGACGGAGAAGGCUAUGUUGGCCGGGCGACGGUUGUCCCGGUUUAAGCGUGUAGGCUGGUUUUCCAGGCAAAUCCGGAAAAUCAAGGCUGAGGCGUGAUGACGAGGCACUACGGUGCUGAAGCAACAAAUGCCCUGCUUCCAGGAAAAGCCUCUAAGCAUCAGGUAACAUCAAAUCGUACCCCAAACCGACACAGGUGGUCAGGUAGAGAAUACCAAGGCGCUUGAGAGAACUCGGGUGAAGGAACUAGGCAAAAUGGUGCCGUAACUUCGGGAGAAGGCACGCUGAUAUGUAGGUGAAGCGACUUGCUCGUGGAGCUGAAAUCAGUCGAAGAUACCAGCUGGCUGCAACUGUUUAUUAAAAACACAGCACUGUGCAAACACGAAAGUGGACGUAUACGGUGUGACGCCUGCCCGGUGCCGGAAGGUUAAUUGAUGGGGUCAGCGCAAGCGAAGCUCUUGAUCGAAGCCCCGGUAAACGGCGGCCGUAACUAUAACGGUCCUAAGGUAGCGAAAUUCCUUGUCGGGUAAGUUCCGACCUGCACGAAUGGCGUAAUGAUGGCCAGGCUGUCUCCACCCGAGACUCAGUGAAAUUGAACUCGCUGUGAAGAUGCAGUGUACCCGCGGCAAGACGGAAAGACCCCGUGAACCUUUACUAUAGCUUGACACUGAACAUUGAGCCUUGAUGUGUAGGAUAGGUGGGAGGCUUUGAAGUGUGGACGCCAGUCUGCAUGGAGCCGACCUUGAAAUACCACCCUUUAAUGUUUGAUGUUCUAACGUUGACCCGUGAUCCGGGUUGCGGACAGUGUCUGGUGGGUAGUUUGACUGGGGCGGUCUCCUCCUAAAGAGUAACGGAGGAGCACGAAGGUUGGCUAAUCCUGGUCGGACAUCAGGAGGUUAGUGCAAUGGCAUAAGCCAGCUUGACUGCGAGCGUGACGGCGCGAGCAGGUGCGAAAGCAGGUCAUAGUGAUCCGGUGGUUCUGAAUGGAAGGGCCAUCGCUCAACGGAUAAAAGGUACUCCGGGGAUAACAGGCUGAUACCGCCCAAGAGUUCAUAUCGACGGCGGUGUUUGGCACCUCGAUGUCGGCUCAUCACAUCCUGGGGCUGAAGUAGGUCCCAAGGGUAUGGCUGUUCGCCAUUUAAAGUGGUACGCGAGCUGGGUUUAGAACGUCGUGAGACAGUUCGGUCCCUAUCUGCCGUGGGCGCUGGAGAAUUGAGGGGGGCUGCUCCUAGUACGAGAGGACCGGAGUGGACGCAUCACUGGUGUUCGGGUUGUCAUGCCAAUGGCACUGCCCGGUAGCUAAAUGCGGAAGAGAUAAGUGCUGAAAGCAUCUAAGCACGAAACUUGCCCCGAGAUGAGUUCUCCCUGACUCCUUGAGAGUCCUGAAGGAACGUUGAAGACGACGACGUUGAUAGGCCGGGUGUGUAAGCGCAGCGAUGCGUUGAGCUAACCGGUACUAAUGAACCGUGAGGCUUAACCUU
rnacentral:rRNA from 1 species